rnacentral:lncRNA from 1 species
CCAUGGCUAUCAGUACCACAGUUUGGAGACUGGGAUCAGAAAGGAGGAACCAUUCCUGACUACUCAAUGGAUUUCACAAAGAUCAGAGAGAUGAGGAAACAGAACAAGAGAGAUCUUUCUCGAGCCAGUCUUGGCAACGAAGAAGACCUCAUUAACCCUUUUCAUAACCAACCUACUUCAGUUGAUAAUACGAAGCCUAAACUCACGACUGUUCACAGCGACAACAACAGAACCAACACUGAGUUCUCUCACCACCAGCCACUUUCUCCAUCUGUAAGAGAUUUCAAUUUUUUUUGUUGAUAACUGAAUGAUUGAUUGUGUUCAGGAUCAGUUCUGUGCCAUUAAUAUAGGCUAUCGAAUAUAACUUUGUAGUAAUUUGGUUACACAAUGUUUGUUCUAUAUAGUUGAUCAUGUGUUUAUAUUAAUUGAGUUACAUGCAUACACUUGAAUUUCCCAUCUUAACAUUCAUUUUUUCUUGCUGUGGGUGUAUAUGAUCUAGAUGAUUGAUUGUGUCUUCAAACCGUUAGGUAGGUGUAUGUAAUUUAGUUAGGUUGUGGAAUCUAGCUUUGUAACUUUAUAUGGUUAGAUGUUGGGUCACACAUUGUUUGUUCUACUUUACCUUUUUCAAAAUUGCAGACUUUUUCUUUUAGAUUUUGACUGAGUUGUGUCUAUGUGAAUUGGAUGAUUGUGUAUUUUGGAUUAUAGCUGUGUGUGUUCAUUUGAUGUGCGCCUUACCUUCUUGGGUUGAUUAUCUAACUUUGUAAGCAUUAUAUGGCUUCUUCUAGCAAUUGGGUGAAUGUGGUCCCUCGGUGUUUGGUCUAAGUUAAGUUGCUAGCUGCUAUUUAUAUAUACACAUGAUAUUAACACCCCCACCAAACUUCAUAGAGUAGAUUUUGUGUUUAUAUUAGAUCUGGAGCAUGAUUGGGUAUGGUUGAGGGGGUUUACAUGGUUAUAGAAUCACAUCAAAGAAAUAACUAUAUAGUUCUUGUAAUGGUUUCUUUUAAUCAAAGUAAAGCAUAAUCCUUUACAAGAAAAAUGUGUGGCUUAUAAACUUUUGUGACCUACCACGUGAACUGCACAGACGAGGAGAGGAAUCUUCAGCUGCUUCAACUGCUGCGUUAAAGCUUGAAGGUUUUUUUUUAUAAUAGAGACGACGAUGAGAUGAAUCUUCAGCUGUUUCGAUUAUUUAUAAUAAUGAAGUGUAAUGGUAGAGUGAAACCAUUACACUUAUAUUUUUCUGCGGAAGCAGUAAAGUAUUAAUCAAGUUUGUCUGCCGUUUACUGUUAUCUUCCAGUGUCUAACUAUGUUUUUGGUAUUAAUUUGAAGUGUAGUUUAACUUUCCCAGAGAUUGAUGUUUUCAGUAUUGUGUAAUGCAGAGUAGAUUCUUUUGUACUUACUUUGAAUUGCGUUUGCCAUCUCUAACUAUCUAAGUAUCUGAUAAUCAAAACACAUAAGAUACGUUUACUACAAUCAUCCUCGUAAAGUCUUAAACUACCUUAACUAAGCUUAUUGGAGGCUAUAGUGUAAAUAGAGAAGUCACACUAAGAAAGAUGUACAUGUCCUCGUCUAUUUCUGAUGAAAACGAUUAUGAACAGUGAACAUUGAAAUUGAAUCAACAAAGUUGAUAUGGCCGAGUUGGUCUAAGGCGCCAGAUUAAGGUUCUGGUCCGAAAGGGCGUGGGUUCAAAUCCCACUGUCAACAGUUUUUUUUUUUUUUUCAUUACUCGUUAAAACAGAUCUUAUUAGUUACUACUGAUUCCACUUAUAAGGCUAUAACCCGUCGAUCUAAACCUCUCCUUUUGUUACUGGUCCAAAGUCAUCAAAGUAAAAUACAAAGCUUUACGGACAAGAUCUUAUCACAGGUUUUUGAAGAGAUACAGACUAUAACAAACUUGCUUUGAAGAUCGUGUGGCUGAAAGAACGAAACAAGAUAAGAUAAUGCUUUUUAGAUUCCCAGAGUUUGCAUUCGUUAGAACCCAUCAACUAUGAUCAGUGGGGGAAAAGUCGAAAACAAAAACGAAGUAAUUAAGUAAAAAGAGGUUAUUUUCGGAAUAACCGGUAGGCGGUUGUUUUGUGUUACGUUUUCUCCUCCCACAUCGGUUAGCUAGAAAAAGUUAGAUCUUCUAGCAAGUAUAAAUAAGAGGCCGUGUCACAUCGUUCAAUUUAUACCUUUCUCGGCCUUUUGGCUAAGAUCAAGUGUAGUAUCUGUUCUUAUCAGUUUAAUAUUUGAUAUAUGGGUCAUCGGCCCAUACGAUGUUAACUAUAUUUUUUCAGGGGGGAAGCCCAUCAAGAUAGCUUGCUAUCUGGGCUUUCGGGAGUUGCCCUUGCGUUGCACUACUGCACGGGCCUGGCUCAACCCAUCAAUCAAAUAGUCCAAUUUUUUUGUGUUUACUCCGAAAAGCACUGGUUCGUAUUUAGUUACAUGCCUGUUAGGGGUAAUAGGGCAUGUUUUGUUCUAAGGAAUACUGGUCACGGGUUGGCUAUGUUUGUAACUCGAAAAAGAGUAAUUGGGCCUUUAGUGAUAGCCCUAUAAGUUGGACGACGAGAGCAGAUCCUAUAUCAUUCAAAGCCCAUCACAUUGUAUAUAUUGACUUGUUUUCCUAUUAUGUUCAAAGUCUUGAAAUUUAGAUUUUUUUAUUGUUUUUACUUUUUACUAAUUUAAGUAUUUAUCAAAUUGUACGAUUUGAAAAUGGUCAAUUAUAUACUAUCAACGUGUUUAACAUAUAAGUAAAAUAAAUUGUUAUUAAUCUAUUUCAACCACUGGUAACUUUUGUACUUACUAAGUUAAAAUUAUUGUUAGGUUAAUGUUUAUACUUUAUACUGUGCAAUUUUUUCGACAUUGGUUAAUUUAAAAAUGUUUUUAAAUUCAGUGGAACCUAUCGUCUUGAAAAUUUUACCCACUGCUCUUGAAUGACAACUACGAUAAUUAAUGCUAUUUUGCUAAAAAGAGGAUAUUGCAGUUAAGGGAGUGGAGGACCACUCUUUAGAAAUGUUCCGACUGAGGAAAGCUAAUCGGAGGGUGGUCCGUGGUCCCUCGAUGCAUUUCAAAUUAGUGAUCAUCGGGCCAUCGCAAUAAAGUUUGUAUGCUUUGGACCAUUGUCUUGAUGGAUAAUCAAGAGAGAUGAAAGGUAAUAUCAUCACACAUCACACAAUACUCUGAUACAAGCCUUUUUUUUCCCUUAAAAGUCAAUGAAAAUUUCACAUUCUUUUCGAAAGCUCUUUCCAAGUCAGAUUUGGCAGAUGCUAUUGUGUGUAUAAUACAAUGCUAGACUUUUAAUGUUCUCAAAGCGUUAAAAAAUAAAAACUCCAGUUUUUGUUUGUUGGUCUUUAAUAAUUAGUCACUUAGUUUAGCGAAUUGAUCGUGACCUGUGAGUCUUGGUCAAAUAAAUAUCCCUCUUGUAAAUAAUUGACAACAAAAAAGAAAGCUUAAACCAUAGCUGCUACCACUAUUUUUUCAAGUAUAGUUUGAUAAUGAUGCAAUCAUGUAAUGUAUAAUAUGCUUGAGGGUCUGGAUCAUGAUUUAUUACAAUUUGCAGAGACCAAAUUACAAUUUGCAUAGUCAAAGCCUUUAUAUAUGUACCAUCAUCAUUUUUCAGGGUAAAACAUGUCUGCCGUAGUUGUGUUACAUAGUCAAGCUUUUUAAUACUAUAGUUUUUUUUUCUGAAUCAAGUUGUACCUACCAUCUUCGCAGUUACUCCCACUGGUCGAUAUUCAAUAUAAAAAACAAUUGAUGCUAGAUAUAUUGAAACAACUAAACACACUUGAUGAAGGACUUAGUCAGAGACACGAUUCUAAGAUGAAAUUGUGAUUAUCAUCUCUACAAAGCAUUAAAAACACACACACCCAAAAGCUUAAAAUAAAUGUUAAAAAGCACUCUUGAAACUCUCAACCGUUAUGUUGUUGAACCUGAAGUUACUGUCUGGACUCAGCUCCACGUAGUGUACCAAUCCAAGCAGGUGGCUGCAUCCCGGUCUGCUCAUAAACCGUAUCAAGAACCGGUGGCAACAUCUUGUAGAGUCCAGCAAUUUCCUUCAUACCACCACUACCCAUCCCCUGAUCAACACCAGCACCACCACCUUGGUUCCACACACUGAUCUUAGGCUGCAAGUCCCUGAUGGCCAAAGCAUUGGUCUUGGCGAUAUCCUGAUAAACCCCAUUGUUGAUCAUCAAAAAGUCCCUCAUCGCCGAGUAGUCAUUGUCAACCGCGUCCAGGAGAGUCUUGAUGUAAGUCCCUUGAGCAGUGGCCAUGGCCACAAGCCCAUCCGCAUCUCUCUGUUUAGCAUAGAAGGAAGCAUCAGCUGCAGCUUUAGUAGCCUCCGCUUGCUUCUGCUUCUCGUAAAGAACAGCUUCUGCCUUCUUCUGCUUGUCAGGAUCAGUUCUGUGCCAUUAAUAUAGGCUAUCGAAUAUAACUUUGUAGUAAUUUGGUUACACAAUGUUUGUUCUAUAUAGUUGAUCAUGUGUUUAUAUUCAUUAAGUUACAUGCAUACACUUGAAUUUCCCAUCUUAACAUUCAUUUUUUCUUGAUGUGGGUGUAUAUGAUCUAGAUGAUUGAUAGUGUCUUCAAACCGUUAGGUAGGUGUAUGUAAUUUAGUUAGGUUGUGGAAUCUAGCUUUGUAACUUUAUAUGGUUAGAUGUUGGGUCACACAUUGUUUGUUCUACUUUACCUUUUUCAAAAUUGCAGACUUUUUCUUUUAGAUUUUGACUGAGUUGUGUCUAUGUGAAUUGGAUGAUUGUGUAUUUUGGAUUAUAGCUGUGUGUGUUCAUUUGAUGUGCGCCUUACCUUCUUGGGUUGAUUAUCUAACUUUGUAAGCAUUAUAUGGCUUCUUCUAGCAAUUGGGUGAAUGUGGUCCCUCGGUGUUUGGUCUAAGUUAAGUUGCUAGCUGCUAUUUAUAUAUACACAUGAUAUUAACACCCCCACCAAACUUCAUAGAGUAGAUUUUGUGUUUAUAUUAGAUCUGGAGCAUGAUUGGGUAUGGUUGAGGGGGUUUACAUGGUUAUAGAAUCACAUCAAAGAAAUAACUAUAUAGUUCUUGUAAUGGUUUCUUUUAAUCAAAGUAAAGCAUAAUCCUUUACAAGAAAAAUGUGUGGCUUAUAAACUUUUGUGACCUACCACGUGAACUGCACAGACGAGGAGAGGAAUCUUCAGCUGCUUCAACUGCUGCGUUAAAGCUUGAAGGUUUUUUUUUAUAAUAGAGACGACGAUGAGAUGAAUCUUCAGCUGUUUCGAUUAUUUAUAAUAAUGAAGUGUAAUGGUAGAGUGAAACCAUUACACUUAUAUUUUUCUGCGGAAGCAGUAAAGUAUUAAUCAAGUUUGUCUGCCGUUUACUGUUAUCUUCCAGUGUCUAACUAUGUUUUUGGUAUUAAUUUGAAGUGUAGUUUAACUUUCCCAGAGAUUGAUGUUUUCAGUAUUGUGUAAUGCAGAGUAGAUUCUUUUGUACUUACUUUGAAUUGCGUUUGCCAUCUCUAACUAUCUAAGUAUCUGAUAAUCAAAACACAUAAGAUACGUUUACUACAAUCAUCCUCGUAAAGUCUUAAACUACCUUAACUAAGCUUAUUGGAGGCUAUAGUGUAAAUAGAGAAGUCACACUAAGAAAGAUGUACAUGUCCUCGUCUAUUUCUGAUGAAAACGAUUAUGAACAGUGAACAUUGAAAUUGAAUCAACAAAGUUGAUAUGGCCGAGUUGGUCUAAGGCGCCAGAUUAAGGUUCUGGUCCGAAAGGGCGUGGGUUCAAAUCCCACUGUCAACAGUUUUUUUUUUUUUUUCAUUACUCGUUAAAACAGAUCUUAUUAGUUACUACUGAUUCCACUUAUAAGGCUAUAACCCGUCGAUCUAAACCUCUCCUUUUGUUACUGGUCCAAAGUCAUCAAAGUAAAAUACAAAGCUUUACGGACAAGAUCUUAUCACAGGUUUUUGAAGAGAUACAGACUAUAACAAACUUGCUUUGAAGAUCGUGUGGCUGAAAGAACGAAACAAGAUAAGAUAAUGCUUUUUAGAUUCCCAGAGUUUGCAUUCGUUAGAACCCAUCAACUAUGAUCAGUGGGGGAAAAGUCGAAAACAAAAACGAAGUAAUUAAGUAAAAAGAGGUUAUUUUCGGAAUAACCGGUAGGCGGUUGUUUUGUGUUACGUUUUCUCCUCCCACAUCGGUUAGCUAGAAAAAGUUAGAUCUUCUAGCAAGUAUAAAUAAGAGGCCGUGUCACAUCGUUCAAUUUAUACCUUUCUCGGCCUUUUGGCUAAGAUCAAGUGUAGUAUCUGUUCUUAUCAGUUUAAUAUUUGAUAUAUGGGUCAUCGGCCCAUACGAUGUUAACUAUAUUUUUUCAGGGGGGAAGCCCAUCAAGAUAGCUUGCUAUCUGGGCUUUCGGGAGUUGCCCUUGCGUUGCACUACUGCACGGGCCUGGCUCAACCCAUCAAUCAAAUAGUCCAAUUUUUUUGUGUUUACUCCGAAAAGCACUGGUUCGUAUUUAGUUACAUGCCUGUUAGGGGUAAUAGGGCAUGUUUUGUUCUAAGGAAUACUGGUCACGGGUUGGCUAUGUUUGUAACUCGAAAAAGAGUAAUUGGGCCUUUAGUGAUAGCCCUAUAAGUUGGACGACGAGAGCAGAUCCUAUAUCAUUCAAAGCCCAUCACAUUGUAUAUAUUGACUUGUUUUCCUAUUAUGUUCAAAGUCUUGAAAUUUAGAUUUUUUUAUUGUUUUUACUUUUUACUAAUUUAAGUAUUUAUCAAAUUGUACGAUUUGAAAAUGGUCAAUUAUAUACUAUCAACGUGUUUAACAUAUAAGUAAAAUAAAUUGUUAUUAAUCUAUUUCAACCACUGGUAACUUUUGUACUUACUAAGUUAAAAUUAUUGUUAGGUUAAUGUUUAUACUUUAUACUGUGCAAUUUUUUCGACAUUGGUUAAUUUAAAAAUGUUUUUAAAUUCAGUGGAACCUAUCGUCUUGAAAAUUUUACCCACUGCUCUUGAAUGACAACUACGAUAAUUAAUGCUAUUUUGCUAAAAAGAGGAUAUUGCAGUUAAGGGAGUGGAGGACCACUCUUUAGAAAUGUUCCGACUGAGGAAAGCUAAUCGGAGGGUGGUCCGUGGUCCCUCGAUGCAUUUCAAAUUAGUGAUCAUCGGGCCAUCGCAAUAAAGUUUGUAUGCUUUGGACCAUUGUCUUGAUGGAUAAUCAAGAGAGAUGAAAGGUAAUAUCAUCACACAUCACACAAUACUCUGAUACAAGCCUUUUUUUUCCCUUAAAAGUCAAUGAAAAUUUCACAUUCUUUUCGAAAGCUCUUUCCAAGUCAGAUUUGGCAGAUGCUAUUGUGUGUAUAAUACAAUGCUAGACUUUUAAUGUUCUCAAAGCGUUAAAAAAUAAAAACUCCAGUUUUUGUUUGUUGGUCUUUAAUAAUUAGUCACUUAGUUUAGCGAAUUGAUCGUGACCUGUGAGUCUUGGUCAAAUAAAUAUCCCUCUUGUAAAUAACCAUUGACAACAAAAAAAGCUUAAACCAUAGCUGCUACCACUAUUUUUUCAAGUAGUUUGAUAAUGAUGCAAUCAUGUAAUGUAUAAUAUUCAUGAGGGUCUAGAUCAUAAUAAUAUGCCCGAGGGUCUAGAUCAUGAUUUAUUACAAUUUGCAGAGACCAAAUUACAAUUUGCAUAGUCAAAGCCUAUAUAUAUAUAUAUAUAUAUGUAUGUAUAUGUAUGUAUCAUUAUUUUUCAAAGUAAAACAUGUCUGCCGUAGUUGUGUAACAUAGUCAAGCUUUUUAAAUAGUUUUUUUUAUCUGAAUCAGUUGUACCUACAAUCUUCGCAGUUACACCCACUGGUCGAUAUUCAAUUAAAAAAACAAUUGAUGCUGGAUAUAUUGAAAUAAUUAAACACACUUGAUGAAAGACUUAGUCAUAGACACGAUUCUAAGAUGAAAUUGUGAUUAUCAUCUCUACAAAGCAUUAAAAAAACACACCCAAAAGCUUAAAAUAAAUGUUAAAAAGCACUCUUGAAACUCUCAACCGUUAUGUUGUUGAACCCGAAGUUACUGUCUGGACUCAGCACCACGUAGUGUACCAAUCCAAGCAGGUGGCUGCAUCCCGGUCUGCUCAUAAACCGUAUCAAGAACCGGUGGCAACAUCUUGUAGAGUCCAGCAAUUUCCUUCAUACCACCACUACCCAUCCCCUGAUCAACACCAGCACCACCACCUUGGUUCCACACACUGAUCUUAGGCUGCAAGUCCCUGAUGGCCAAAGCAUUGGUCUUGGCGAUAUCCUGAUAAACCCCAUUGUUGAUCAUCAAAAAGUCCCUCAUCGCCGAGUAGUCAUUGUCAACCGCGUCCAAGAGAGUCUUGAUGUAAGUCCCUUGAGCAGUGGCCAUGGCCACAAGCCCAUCCGCAUCUCUCUGUUUAGCAUAGAAGGAUGCAUCAGCUGCAGCUUUAGUAGCCUCCGCUUGCUUCUGCUUCUCGUAAAGAACAGCUUCUGCCUUCUUCUGCUUGUCAUACAGCUCCCAGUUAGCUUCUUGCACCUUGGUCUCAUACUCAACAGUGGCUUUGCUGAGGAACUCGGCUUUGAGCUUCUCCGUCCGAGUCAAAGCAUUCAUCUUCUCGACUUGCGUCUGAAGCUCAGCUUCCCUCAUAGCAACGGCCUUGCCAGCUUCAACCUCAGCCACACGAGAGUUUUUGGUCAAAGCAGCCUUCUGAAUCGCGAGUGCUGCAUCAGCGUGAGCGACGAGAGCCUCCUUCUCGUUCUGAAACACUUGGACCUCGGUCUUCACCUUGAUCUCCUCCUUUGUCCCUUCUCCUAGCCUCUGAGUUGCGAUGAUCUUCGACUCAGCGUCGAUCUUGGCUGCGUUCUGGAUGGUGAGACCGGUACGUUCUUUAGCACCGACCUCUCCCUUCAUCUUAGCCUCGGCGACAUCGAUCUUGGCUUGGUUAGCUGCUUCCAUCUGAGUCUUCUGACCCAAGUAAGAGAAGUACUCAUGUCCAGGGACAUCAACGAGCUGCUUCACGUUGGCGUUGUAGAUCACAAGACCAAACUGGUUUAGCUCAAGUUGAACCUUCUCAAACACUUCCUGCUUAAACUCCUUUGUUCCUACGAAAAAAAAAACACAAUAAUCAAACUUCAAGAGGCAAAUCAGCGAAAAGAAUAUUAUAAACAAUUUAGUAAGAAUUUAUAUAAUUAAAAUUCUUUAACAAAAAUAAUUAAAUAAUAAAAAAAUAAAAAAUAAAAUUGGGGAUUUCACUAGCCUAUGUUCAAGACUUGCCACGCAAGCAAGAUACAAAUCUAGGGUUUCAAGAUUUGUAUCUGGUGAUUUUACCUUUGAAGACCUCUUCCAUGGUCAUGGAGGCGACGAGGACACGAGUCUCUCCUUCGAUAACACCCUGAACAAGCUCGUUGACGUGGUUAGAGUGCUUGUCGUGCUGAGACAUAAGCAUGGCGUACAACAAGAGAGCGUGAGGGUCAUCGACGCGUGGACCGAUGGUGAACACGGCGGGGAUAACAAAGGGGAGUUUCUCGGAACUCAUGGCUUGGACCUCGAAGGUGUAGUUGACCGGAGAGACGUCGAAGACGGUACAAGAUUGCCAUGGAAAGACCCACGACUUCUUGGCGAGUUUGAUGUCUUUGAUCCCACCACCGGUGAUGGCGAGGUACUGCGAUGCUCUUGCGACUUUGUAACUCAUUCUUCUUUGAAACUUGUUAGGUUUGUUUGUGUAUGUAUGUGUGUAGAGAGAGGUAUCAUAAGACGCAAGUACUUAUAUAAGAGUUCUUAAUAUAUACGCGUAAUUAGGAAAAAUGGAAAAUAAUACUCGGAAACAAACAAAUUAUUAUUAUUAAUUUCCUUUUCUUUAUCUCCAAGUUUACAAUUUAGUGAUCUACAUGUAUUAUAUGUUUGCUUUUUUUGGGUCAAAGUCUACUAAAUAAAUUGUUAUUAUACGAUAAAUCCAUGUAUAUUUAUUGAUAAAUAUCAAUGGUGUUUAAUGUUUAUCUUUGACUUUUUUAUUAAAGUAUAAUAUUCCAUCGAUUCCCAAAAAACAAGUUUUAGAUUUUUUACUCAUAUUAAAAUAAUAUAUUGUUGACAAAAAAAAUUACAAUACUAAAUUAAUUUGUGAUUAUCAAAUGCAUUACUUUUUCUAAUUAAUUAUUUUCUUACAUUUUAACCAAUAUAAUAUAAUAAACACAAUUUUUUUGAAGUUUACAUUUUAUCAUUAAAUAGUGCAUUAAAAAAAUAUUUUAACCGAAAAAUAUAAAAAAUAUUCUUCUAAAACAUAGAUAUUUUGGAAUGGAAAGAAUAUUUAUAAAAAAAGAUUGAAAGAAUAAUUAAAUAAAAGAUAUAUUAUGGUUUAUGGUUGAUAUAUUGGUGAAGCAUCCAAGAAACUCCGGAACAUCUUUUAAAUAUUCGUAAAGAAUACUCAUAUAUGACAUAUCCGAACAAGCUGUAUUCUAUAUGGGAUUUCAGUUUAUUUUCUUCUCAAUACCCACAGAUUGUGUAUGACUAGUUUUUAAUUAAAAAUAGAGAAAUAAAGGAUAACUAUUAGCUAAAUUUGUCGUUGAAUUGAAUAAAUAUUGAAUUCAGGAACUCACCAGUAGUCAUAUCCAUCCAUAUCUGAAAAAACACAAGACGAGUUUCUCAUAACUAAUCAAAUGCAAUCGCUAAUUAAAAAUUAAACAUACUAACAACUUACAUAAAAUCACGGGAAAAUCGUAAACGACAUACAACGAUGGCGUGUUUUUUUUCCAACAUUUUAACAAAUCAACGUGCUACACGUGGACUACCAACUAAAGCAAGCCGUUAUUUUCAGGAGAAAGGAAGGAUCACAGCUCCGUCGCUUUAUCUAUCCACCCACCCACCCACCCAAUAUCUCGUCGUCUUUCCGUUGAUCAUCAUCUUCUUCCCAACAAUCAAUCAAUCAAAAGAGAGAGAGAGAGAGUCUCUCGUGGAUUCAGAAUCUCUCCUUCGGUCAAAUUCAUAUUCUUCCUCUCUCUCUAUAUAUAUAUAUAUUGGAGUUUCUGAUGGUAGACAGCUAUAGUAACCUCUCGUGGCUCGUAUGGAUCCAAAUGUUCGUCUUCUUCCUCCUCCUCUGCGUCUUCGGAUUGUUAUCCUCAGAUGUCAGCGAGAGCAGUGUCUCAUCUUCCGAUUCACUUCCUUCUACGUCCGCCUCUGGGAGGUUUCUUGCUGGAGAUCCGAUCCCGAUCAGCCACCACCGUGGCUUGGGGUUCUCCGUAGUACAGUCUAAUCAGGUAAACUCUUAAUGCUUCCCCGUUGACUUGCUGUUUUUUUUUUUUGUAAUGUGUGUUCCAAUUGAGAUAUAUGAUCUGAAAUCGAAUCUUUAGGGGUUAGAUUGUAAUUUACGAAAAUAGCAGAGCCAGGAUUAGCUGCAUUAGAAUGUAAUGCCCAGCGAGCUCACGUUGAAGGUUUCUGAUCUUAUCGAUGUUCAUUCUGGCCAAUGGAUAGUGCCACGUGUUAGAGAGACGUUUAGUCCUGAUGAUGUGCGACUUGUCCUCAACACCAAGAUCAACCCCUCACGUCACGAUAAUACGAUCUGGUGCUUCACAAAAAGUGGACAAUAUUCGUCGAAGAGCGGCUACAAACUCCUCGUGGACUUACAGGAGAUGAACUCUCCUUUCCCAGCCUUGCCCCCCAUUGAAAAACAGCUCUGGUCUGAUCUAUGGAGAACAAAAACAUCCCCUAAACUCAGACAUUUUCUGUGGCGCGCUCUAUCUGGAGCUUUGGCGGUGAAGGAAAGAUUACGUACUAGAGGCAUCCACCUUGACACUACAUGUGUAUCUUGUGGGUCUGCGUCAGAAUCUAUUUGUCAUGUUCUAUUCCAGUGUAGGUUUGCGCAGGAAGUAUGGUCUCUAUCCGGUAUUCCUCCUCCUACUGCUGGCUACUCUCAGACAUCGAUGUUCUUAAACCUUUUCCAUCUCUUGAAGUGUAGCAGAAACCCGUCCCUCCCCUUGGGUGUGCGUCUCGCUUUUCCAUGGGUCCUAUGGCAUAUAUGGAAAGCUAGAAAUGGCUUUAUCUUUGAGCAUGUGAGAAUGGAGCCUUCCCUGGUUCUAUCUCGAGCUAUGGAAGAAGCGGGUAUGUGGCUUACUGUUAACUCAUGUGUUGAGUCGACUGCAACCCCUGCUGUGGCACCUACAAUUGAGACACCUAAGAGAACCUGGUCCAAACCUCCCCGAGGUUUGCUUAAGUGCAAUGUUGGAACCUCUUGGCAACCUAGCAAUCUUGGUAGUGGUGCGUCUUGGAUUGUCAGAGAUGAGAUAGGUAAUCCUGUGAUACAUAGCAGAAGAGCUUUCUCUGGUGUUCUUUCUGAGUUGGAAGCUUCGCUUCGCUCUCUUGCGUGGUCGAUCAUGGCGCUUUCUGAUCUCCACCUUGACAAAGUGAUCAUCGAGUUCUCAUGUGUUAUGAUGGCGGAAGCCCUGCUAAACCCUACUAAGUUUCCUGAGGUCCAGUACUUAAUUCAAGAAACUUUGCAAUCUCUCCAUCGUUUCUCAACCUAUACUUUGAAUCAUGUUGAACCGGAGAAGAACAGAGUGGCUAAACUCAUUGCAGUGAGUGUCACCAAGGAUCAACGAUAUCAAUCGUAUGUGGCUCAAGGAGGCCCUGCUUGGUUGGCUCACACCAUUCAAAGAGAGGCCCUGCCUCAUGAUCUAUAGCCCCUAACAGGUGGCUCUGUGAUCUCUACGGGUGUGCGAAUAAUCGCCUUUUAAGCACCUACUGGUGUCUUUUCCCUUUGCUGUUUUUUUUAACUUUAUGUCUCUACUCUCUAUUGUUUCUUUGUUCUUCCUCCCAAUCCUCUUAUGUGAGGUGUGUGUUACAUUUUUGGAGGUUUCUCUUUAUAAUUUGAAUACAACCAGCGUCAAAAAAAAAAAAACUCUUUCCGUUCCUAAAAGAUCCAUGUUUUAGAAUUUUCAUAUUUUUUAAUAAAACAUAUUAAAACUUAGGUAUAAAUGCAUAGUUUUUUGUAAUUUUAUAUUUUCUAUAUUUUUAAACCAAUAAAAUUUUAAGAAAUGCAAUUAAUGUUCUUGAACUUCACAAUUUCUCAUUAUUAAUUGACAAAAAAUAUAUUGAAAAUAAAAAAUAUAAUCUUUUCGAAACAAAAGUUUUCUCUAGAAUAUGGAUCUAUUAGGGACGGAGGGAGUACGAUCGUUUCUCAAUAACAAGAAACAAUGACGUAAUUAGAUAUAGGCUUCCUAUAAAAAAAACCGGAGUAGAUUUGAUUUAUAAGUUUUUUGAAAACAUACCGAUGCGUUAUGCUUGACCAAAUAUAUAAAUCUUUUUUUUUUUUAACAUCUGCAUUAGAUUAGAUACGAUAGCCUUUGUUCUAUAUCGCUUUAACGAAAGUUAGGCCAAACAAAUCGAUAAAGUUUAUCACAAUAUCUAUGAAAAUAUAAUUACAUUUUCAAGAAUUCAAUAAGUCAAAUCUUAUUGUCUUGGUGUGCACUGUAAAGUACAGAAAGUCCUGUCUGUUUCAGACGCAGCAGAAGCAAACAUACAACUUGCAUCUUCAGCCGUCGAUCUGCAAACCAAAAUCCAAAUAUUCACGUUACCGAGCACUAACGUUAAGGUGGACCGUAACGUAGGUGAUAACAUCUCUAGAAGCAAAACUCAUUACUUUGAAAGUGGAAGCUCACUUUUCACCACCCUGCCGUCGCUCCUUACGUCAUUUUGAUGACGUAAUCGUUCUCUUCUUUCCACACGUGGCCUUGAAGCACCUUCCUAGUAUCUACCCUGAAAUUGCUUGUCAUUAGUAAAUGUUUAUUAAUCUUAUCUCUUACUUAAUUAUCUUUCUUUAUAAAUGUUUAAAAAAGAUUCGUACAUAAAUAUACUAAAGAUAUAUUAUAUAUAUAUGCAUAUAAAUAAACGACCAUUCAUCUCUGUCUCCCCUUCUUCACUUGCUGUACUAGUUCUUAGAUGCUUUAAGAUCUCUCUGUCUUUCAAUUUUUUUUUGGUAUUUAAAAAGAAAGAAAAAUGAAUAUUUCCCAAAACCCUAGCCCUAAUUUCCCCUUCUUCUCCGAUGAAAACUUUAUUAAUCCUUUCAUGGAUAAUUUCGAUUUCACGGAUUUGAUCUUCGAUGUUAAUGAAGGAGGCAACAAUAAUGGAUUCAUCCAGGAGGAAACUUCAUCUCCUAUAAGCAUCGUUUCAUCGGAGACAUUUACCGGCGAAAGCGGUGGAUCCGGCAGCGGAAUAACGACGUCAAGUAAAAAGGAACCAACGUGAGUUUUAGUUAUAUUUGUUGGCUAGAUUCUUCUUAACCAAAACUUUAUCAACUUUAUUAAUAUAUAACAAUUUGUUUUAAUAGUUUUGGAUGCAAAAGUAGGGGAAGUAAAGACGGCGAGACGAAGGAGAUGGGCCAUAGAGUUGCAUUUAGAACGAGAUCAAAGAUUGAUGUGAUGGAUGAUGGUUAUAAAUGGAGGAAAUAUGGGAAGAAAUCUGUGAAGAACAACACAAACAAGAGGUAAUCAAUGAUCAAAAAGUUGAAUAACUCGUUUCAUUUAAUUAUUGAAUGAUAAUAUCUCAAGUAGUUGUUUAUUAAAAGUUAACAUAUGGGUUGCUUGAUCAUUUUCUAUCAUCAUCUUGUAAUCCUAUUGGUAUACUAGAAUAUAUUCCACUAAUUAACUAGAACAUAUAGUGAUUUGAAAACUGUUUAAUGGUCCCGUAUUAGUUACCAACCCACUAGUAUUAAAAAAGAAACAGAUUCCACAUGCAUCCUUGUCUACGUUUUGUGUUUAUAUAUAUAUAUAUUCAUAUGUUUCUGAUUGAAAAGAGGUAAAUUCACUAAUCCAUGGCUGGGAAGCAUUCAGCAUAUAGAUCUUAUUUUGACUUAUAUCAUUGAAGAAACAAAACAAAUCGCCCACAUGUAUCUUGAAAACACAUUUUAGUGAUCAGUCUCGGCUAUGCAGUUUAUUAUUGGUGGGAAAUUUAUUAAAGUAAUUAAAACUAAUGAAUGUGAAUAUAUGUAUAUAGGAAUUACUACAAAUGCUCAAAUGAAGGUUGCACGGUGAAGAAGAGAGUAGAGAGAGAUGGUGAGGAUGCAGCUUAUGUGAUUACAACAUAUGAUGGAGUGCAUAACCAUGAGAGUCCCUCACAUGUCUAUUACAAUGACAUGGUUUUGUCAUAUGAUCAUGAUAAUUGGAACCAACACUCUCUUCUUGAAGCUAUCCAACAAAUAUCUCCUCCAUACUGAGAUUAUUAGAUAACUACCAUCGUCAUAAUCUCAAUGUAUUAUUGCCUUGUGUAAUAAUAAAAAGUUCGUUAUAUCGCUUAUAACUGUAUUGAUAUAAUGUAAAUGGUUAUGAAACCUUUUGUAGUUAUCUAGAUAUCAAAAUAUCAAUGUAUAUAUAGUUCAUAAUAUGCAGUGUUGUGCUUAGUUUUAUAAAAUGUCUAGAAUGAAUUUUCCUGGAUGUUAUUAACCGAUACAAAUCAUACCAAGUAUAUAUAUGUGUUAAAGAGUUAUCUCUUCUGGUAAUAAAGGUGGAAGAAGAAACCACUUGAGUGCGUACAAUAUCAUCGCUAGAGUUCUCAUCUUCUAUGUGUCUUUGAAAUAAACUACAUCGUAUCAAAAUGAGUUAUAGUUCAUAAGUUCACUCCGCUCAGGUCAAUUUUUCAUAAGCAUGAUCUCUGUUUUUAGGUUCAUUUAAUAAAUGAGAUUAAUGAUUGAGCUUAAAUUAGAUAACGAGUUAUAUGAGCAAUAUUUAAUGAUCUUGAGCUAACUCAUGAGGUUGGUCGCUUUUAUACUUUAUAUAUAUAUAUAUGACUUCUAUUUUUGUUAUGAAAGAAAAAAUAGUUUCUAUAUUAAUCGUAUUUAACUUCUAAAAUUAAAAUGUAAAACCAAAAAAUUAUAAAUAUAUACAAAAAUGUAAAAGAAUAUUGAUAUCAAUCCUCGUAUCAUAUAUCGUUAGGAUUAAAAUCUAAAACAAAAUAUUCCUAAGACUCUCAUGCAGAAUAUAUAUCUUUAUGAUUUGAAUAGAUGAAGACUUUGAAGAUGAAUCAUCUUAAGACUUGUAUGUGGAAUAAAUUUUUGGAUCACUAAUUUUGCUUUUAUUUAAUUUAUUAUUAGGUUUUGGUUUUAUUCAGUAUUUAAUAUUAAUGUUUUGGAUUUUUAGUAUUUAAUUUUUAAAUUAUAUUAUGAACAUUAUUUUAUUUUAUAUUUUAAUUUAUAAUUUUUAUUUUUAUAUUUGAUCGGGAGUUAGCUCAUUUAACUCAUGAUCUAGAUGAUCUGAGUUCGAGUUUACAUAUGGAAGCUCAUAUAAUAAAUGAGCUGAGCUGAGCUAGCUCAUGAAAGAUCCGAGCUCACUAUGAGUUGAGCUGAGUUGAGCGAGGUAGCUUAUUUUGACACCCCUACUCUUAACCGCUUCUCCUACCAUGGUAGUUGUCUACAAUCAUAAUAUGAGGGUUCUACUUAGCUACUCUAGAACACAAGCAGUAAUAACAAUUCUAAUGAAAUAUAUAUAAUUAUCACCUUAGCAAUUCUAUAGUUUUGGCUAAUCUUUCAUAACCCUAAUUAGCCCUAAAUCUAACAAUGUGGAUCUACUCAGACGUGAUCAAGCAAAGCAUGAUAAAUAACUGAAUAAAAUGCAUAAAACAGAAUAGGUAUGAAAAACUAGAGUUUCAUUACAAGCUCUAAAGGAGUCUUGGAUCUUCUCUCUAAACUACUAAAAACCUUAAAACUGUAUGGUGUGAAUGAAAGAAAAAAAGUGUGUGUCACCUAAUACAAUGGCAGAUCACUUAAAUAUUACGUUAAAGUCGACCAUGGGAAGUCUUGUAAAUAUGUGGAUCUUUGGCCGUAAGUCAGCUAGGAAUCAAGUCGGGUCUCUCGCGCUUCGAUGUCGAACGACGACAAGAGAUGUUUGUCGAUCGACGAUUGUCUCUGAAUGUCGACUCUGGCUGGCUCCUUGAACAGCUACUAGUUUCUUCUAUCUUUAGCUCCAAAAUGCUCCAUAACACCACAUUAUUCCAAAACAUACAUGAACCUGUAAAGACUCUAAAAAGACUCUUUUUUUUUAGCAACAUGAAGUCUUUAACAUACAUGAACCUGUAAAGACUCAAAAAAGACUCUAAAACAUAAUAAAUAGACUCUAAAAUAACUAUAUACCAUUGCUGAAAACUGGUAAAGUCAAUGAUAUAUCAACUCCUCCAUACUUACCAUUUUACUUGUCUUCAAGCACAACAUAGAGUAGUCUAUGAAAGAGGUUUAAGAACUCAGCAGGGAAUCACAUAAUUUAAAACCACUACUCUCACUUCUGCAUAUAUGAAUAGAUUGUAAUGAUUCAAUACUAACCUUAGAGAUGUUUCAAUGUACUACACUCUACCAUACAACACACAACUCCAUUAAUAUUGUCUGACAUACCCUUCUACUGACCUCAUUUCAGUAUAAACAUACAUGUAUAUGCUACAUCUUGGGAGUAUCGAUCACUGAACACAUGAAAUCAACUCAAGCAAGUAUGUGGACAACCAUGAAGUCUUUUCUGACUAUUUCCCUCUCUCUUCUCUCUUCUCUGAAUCUUAUUACCUCAAUUCCAAUGAACAAUGAUGCUGAUGCAAUCCAUCUUGCCCAUCUUUCGUUCGAUUAUAUAUAUAUAUAUAUAUAUACAAUGGUUUAAUUUUUUUUGUUCAAGUAAGAUACAAAUGAUCAUACAUCGUAGGGGUGAGCGUUCGGAUACCCGUUCGGGUUUGUAUCCGGUAUUUGGGAUUUUUGGGUAUUUCAGUAUAAUGGUAUAGAAACCGUUUGGGUAUUUCUACACUUCGGAUCAGGUUCGUUAUGUUCAGAUAUUUUGGAUCGGGUUACGAUAUUUAAAAUUUUAAAAAUAAAUAAAUAAAUUAUUCAUUGUUUGUGUUUUUUAUUUAAAAUAUGGUUUUCUAAUUUUUAAAAGAUUAAACUAUUCAUAUGUUUAGAGAUAAACUUUAAAUCGAAGUGAUCCUGACAAUCCAAAAAAAAACACUUCUUCAAAUCGAAGUGAUUUUUAAUAUUGGAAGCACUAUAUAUAUUAUUUCAUUCAGAUUAAAUAAUGGGCAAAGAAAAUGACCUAAAUAGCUCUUUUUUAUUUUGAAAUUUUUAAUUUUUUAUUUUUUAAAAUUUGAAACUCUAUCUUCAAAACCACACCCAUUAACUUUAAACUCUAAGUUUAGAGUAGUUAACCCUAGGGUAAAAAGCUAUCUUCAAAACCACACCCAUUAAAACUUAUUUUGGUCAUUUUUCUCAUUGAGAACUAUUUUGUGACAAAAACUUAAAAAAACUAUCAUAUGGAAUUCUCUUAAAUAAUUUAGUCUUGAUUUGUUUCUUAAAAAACUUUUAAUGAAAUAUCGUGACAAGAUUACAGUCACAUUCUUUUGAUUUUGUUCGAAGAAUGAGAAAUUUGAUCAUUCGUUUGAUAUUUGUUUCUCCCUAAUAUCCUAUAUAACUAUUAUAAUUGUAAGAAUGAGAGAUUUGAACUAUUUAUUAUAAAUUUUAUGGUUUAUCAUUUAAUAAAUCAAACAGUUCUUAGUUUAUAGUUUACAUAUACUAGAAUGGUAAAUUAUUAUAUAUUUUUUUAUCUAUAUACGUAACUAAACCUCAAAAGCAUAAGCUAAUAAAAUAAGUAAUUUUUUUUUGUUCUAGAAUUAGAUGAUUUUUAGACCAUACUGGUGAAUAUAUACUAGACAAACAUUUAUAUUUCGAGUCUGCACUUAUAUUCUAUAACUUGAUAUAUUAGAUUUGAACAUUUAUCUCUUAAUAGAGUUUCCCGGUGAUUUUCUUCAAAAUAUUGAUUCUUAGAUAUAUAUCUGAAGUGGAACUAAUUUUUACAAAUGUCUAUAUUUUUAAAUUAAUACUUAUAUAAUUCACCGAAUUCAUAGAAUUUUUUUUUUUUAAAGCACUAAAUUUAUAUCAAUGAUUCAGAGACGAGAACGAAAACACAAUUUUAUAGAGGUGAAAAAUGAGAUCACAUAUGGAGAUUCAAUAGUAAACAAAUCGAAAGCAGAAAACCUAAUACUCUUUUAUCAUUAUACAAUCGAUGAUGCCUAUCUAGUUUUGGUGAUUUGUGUCAAUCGCAAAACUUAAUUUUUUUUGUGUAUAUGAAGUUUUAAAAAUAAUUAAAAUGAACUGUAAUACAUUAAUUCUUCAACAACAAUGAUACAUUUAAGAGACCAACAUUUUUAUUCGUCAUUUUACGAUCGAUAAAAAUCGUAGUAUAACAAAAUCUUAAAAUUAUUUAAUGAACAAACAUUAUUAUAAAAACUCAGUUCGUUAACAUAAGUAUUUGUGGAAAAGCCCAUAUGCGACUCAGCGGUAGCUUUUCCGGUUCACAUAUGGAAAUUACUAUCCCGGUUGAAAUGACUCCGGUUUAUAAGAGAUUUAGUUUGAUCGGUUUGAUUUACGAUCCGGUUUUUCUGGGGUAAACUGUUAAACACAGGAAAGGAAGUCGUUUCAAUUGUUCUUCCGCCCAAAUCUGAAACACUAACUUGUUAGUAUUUUCCAAGGGAAUCUCUGAUCUCGAUCCAGAUUCAUUCGUGGAGGAAGACGACCGAACCCUACUUCAUUGAUUACGCUGGAGAGAUCUGUGUAAACAAUUUGGAUUCCGUUUUGUCGUAAUCGCAGAUCCCGCUGCUUCUCUCGAUCGAAAAGAAUCUGAAUCGAGAUUGAUUAGUGUUGGUGUGCUAUGAGUGUUAGUGUAUGAGCAAAAAUAAAAAAAAAAAUGAAGUUUUGGAGAGAACGUGAAAGGGAAAGCAAAGAGCAGAUCUUAGCUCCAUUAUGUGGCCAAGUUCGAGUCUUGGUCGUUGGUGAUUCAGGUAUAUUGAUCUAGUUAGGUUUUAUAGGAUGAUUCAGAUUGAUUGAUAGAUCAUUGUGGUUAGGAGUAAUGGUUGUGUGGUCGUUUAGUUAGUAUCUUAAAGCCAACAUUGUUUUCCUUACACUCUGUUAGUUACUUUCCGUGUUUGAUUUUUGCUUAUGAUGAGUCAUGGCUCAUGUUCAUGUUGAGUCUUGGUUGUUGGUGGAUUCAGGUAAAUCACAAGCUCUACCUUCAUGUAGGUUUCUUAGAUUAUAUGGAACCAAACCAAGUUAGUCGUUUACAAUGGGUUUUGUUAAGAUUGGUUUAUACUAUUUGGACACUCAUGCUAUACCUGAUCAUGUGUGGCUCAGGUAGAUAGAUCAUUGUGGUUAGGGGUAAUGAUUGUGUGCUCGUUGAGCUAUCUUUAGUCAACAUUGUUUUCCUUAGCGAGUGUUACUUACUGUGUUUGCUUUUGCUCAUGGCUCAUGUCAAUGGUUGAGCUCAAAAGUCUGAAAAUAUUCAUACUUUGCAUUAUUUGAGUUAAUUUUAAUCUUUUCGAAUCUCAAUUUUUUCUUUUUUUGGUUAGGUGUGGGGAAAACAUCACUUGUACACCUCAUUAAUAAAGGUUCUUCUAUUCAUCGUCCAUCUCAAACGAUUGGAUGCACAGUUGGUGUCAAGGUAACUUAAACCGUAUCUUAUGUUCUCAAAUUUUUUUUUGGGAGAUGAAGUUUUGAUUUUUCUUUCUCCUACUUUCCUGUUGUGUAGCAUAUAACUUACGGGAGUCCAGCUAGUUCUUCGAGUAGCAUUCAAGGGGAUGCAGAGAGAGAUUUCUUUGUUGAGCUCUGGGAUGUUUCAGGGCACGAGAGAUACAAAGAUUGCCGCUCACUCUUCUAUUCGCAAAUCAAUGGUCUCUCCUAAGUCAAUUAUGUAUCCAUGUUGUUUAUCCUUUUUUGUCUCUGAAACAAUGUCAUAAAGCGAGAAAUUUACAUAUUGCAGGAGUAAUAUUUGUUCAUGAUCUCUCUCAAAGAAGAACAAAAACAAGCUUGCAGAAAUGGGCGUCUGAGGUUGCAGCGACUGGAACUUUUUCAGCUCCUCUUCCCUCAGGAGGUCCUGGUGGUCUUCCUGUUCCGUACAUUGUUGUUGGAAACAAAGCAGACAUUGCUGCGAAAGAAGGAACAAAAGGAAGCAGCGGAAACCUUGUUGAUGCAGCUCGUCAUUGGGUCGAGAAGCAAGGUUUGCUUUCCUCAAGUGAAGAGCUUCCUCUCUUUGAAAGCUUUCCUGGUAAUAGUGGUCUCAUAGCGGUAAGUAAUCACUAGUUUCUGUUAAUCGAAUUCAGUGUUUGCUUUUUACUUAUAUGAUUUGGUGUCGGCGCAGGCAGCUAAAGAAACCAGAUACGAUAAGGAAGCUUUGAACAAAUUUUUCCGGAUGGUUAGUGUCAUUAAACACACCUUUCUUUAAGGUUACAUCUUCUCUAUACUGAUAAAACUAUUUUUUGUGGUUCUUUUAACAGUUGAUAAGAAGAAGAUAUUUCUCAGAUGAACAACCAGCAGCUUCACCGUGGUCUAUUUCGCCGCAUCGAACCUCAUCAUCCCAACGGUUAGAUGACGAGAUCACAAGCGAUGAUGACCAAUUCUACAAGCGAACAAGGUAUAAAACAACGCUAAAAGCAAAAGAUCUUUUAAAAGUUAGGUUUGGUCUUAACAGUUGAUUGUUGCAGUUUUCAUGGAGAUCCUUACAAGUACAACAACAACACGUUACCGCCACUUCCCGCACAACGCAACCUAACUCCGCCUCCUACACUAUUUCCACAGCAGCCGGUCUCUACUCCUGACAACUACGCUAUCCCGAGAUUCUCACUAUCGAGUGAAACAAGUAACAAUGGCAGUGGUAGAUCAAAGCGAAUGGAUAUUAACGUUUGAAACCAUGCAUCUCUUUAUCGUUACAAGAAAACUUAAUGAAGAUGUGUUGCUUUUGGUAUUUGAUGGUAUCUAUUAUUCUUUUUUUGAAUGUUCCAAUGGUUUUUCUUUUUAUUUCGAGAUGGAUGCAAGUGGUAAAGUGAAUAUGCGUGUAACCAAACCCUCUUUUGAUUGUUCUCGUAGCAAAUUCUGUCUGAAACAGAAUGAGAAAAAUUGUGAAUGAUUUAUAAUAAUACUUGUUGAUAAAUAUAAGUUGAAUUUACAAUCUAUUUGUUCGAUUUAUUAUCACCCAAAAUUGAUAUUAUUUACAAAAGAAAAUGUUUGAUUUAAUUCAGCUUUUGGUAAAUAUUAAAAAGGAAUAUUCACUCGUACAUUUUAACAGAGAUAGAGUAGAGAGAGAGAGAGAGAGAGUUGGACACGACAAGCUGUUCCUAACACCAGCGAGAGUCGCGAGAUAAAACAGCGAAGGUAUGUGACUUUGUGCCCUAAGAAUUACACUUUCCAUUGAAUCUUUCUUCUCUCAGAACCUUCUGGGUUGCUAAAUUCAGCUGAUAACCCUAAACCCUAUUCCGUAGUUCUGUACCCUUUGCUCAAUUUCGAAUUUGAUUGAAUUUUUUUAAAUUUAGUAUCAGAUUACAAUCUUCCUUUAAAGUGACAAGCUUUUCUUUAACUUUGUGUUCUUGAUUAAUUCCUGUAAUGCGCAGUGUGAUAUAAAUUUGAAGUCUUUAACAAGAAAAAUGGUGGAAGUGUGGUGGCCGUUGUUAGCAGCAGCAGUCCCUGCGCUUAUCGGAGGACAAGCACUGAGGAUAAAGAAGAGACGUGGCGAAGAAGAGAGGAUCAAGAGUGCUCGAGGAAGAGAGAAAAGCUCUGAUGAGAUCUUUGUCUGCGAAAGAGUUUGCACUUCCAAAAGAAUGCUGAAGAAAGUUGGAGCCUUCUCUAAAGAUCCUAUUCCCGACACUUGUGUUACUGUCUGUGGUGUAUCUGAGCUUGACGCUUGCUCCGAUGCUUGUGCUCGAACCGUCUGUGUGAACCAGCACCAAGUUGCUAACUGGAAUGACAUUUGUCUAAGGAGGUGUCAGAGUGAGUGUCUUAAGCUCUCUUCUUCUUCUUCUCGCUCUUCUUGAUAUGUUUUAAGAGUUUGAAUCUCUCUUUUGUGUUGUUUGAGUUUGAGUCUGAACGGUAUGAUUGGUUCCUUUUGAAUCUGAAUUUUUUUUUUGUAAGUUAAAUAACAUUAUGAGCAAAUCUUUGGUGGAUUACAUUUACAUUUCAUCAUGUGAGGUUUGUUUGGUAACUUUCUCAGCUGUUUUGUGAACUGCUUCUCCUAUGACACCUCCUGCUAGUUUUGCUGAUUCUUCAAUGGCUUCUUUGCUUACUUCAAGGCUCCUUGUAGCCGCUUCUUUCACUUUCUCUCCUUUGUCUUCUCCUUCUUUGUCCUUGUUGUUAUUGGCGCUGUUGCUUCUGAAACUGUCACAACAAAACGACACACAGAAGUUUAGUAAAACGGAUUUUGAAGAAAGGCCAAGAUCAUAGUGUAUGAAUGCUUGUUUGUUUACUCUAGAUUUGGAGGGUAAAGCUUCGUUUUAAUCUUCUGCAUUGCACCUUGAAUCAAUUCCCAAGAACUAGGAGGAAAUUUCUUGCCAAAGAUCCCACAUAUGAUCUUUACAAGUGACGGAUUCUCUUCUUUCUUGGCUACACCAUCAUCAUCUGAAGAUACCGGCAAAAUCCCCCUAGAGAUCAAGAAGAUGAUGAUGAUGAAGAAAUUAAAUCUGAUUCUUCUUGAUUCAUUCAUGACCUAUAUAUUAAUUCGUUAAGAAGCUUCAGAGAUAUCAAGAAAGGGACCAAAAGGAAAGUGAGAGAUGAGAGAAAGUUGACGCCACGUUUCUAGCAUCAAUAGAAGCAGAUCAGACUUGUGCUUUGAACGAUUCUUGCGUAACACUUGCAUUGACUUUAGAGAGAACUUGAUCGAAACCAAUCCAAUAUUUAAUUAGACAUUACAUAGAAAAAAGAUUCGUUUCUGUCUCGUAUAAGUUCGAACAAAACAAAAACACAAAAUUUUGAACAGCUUCCCUCAUCUAGACAACCUGUCUUGAAACCCUUGAAGAAGAUAGUUCCAUGGCACAUACCAUAUGUUUAUCCAUAUUCUUAGCUAUAAUCACUUCACCACAUCUUCUCAACCAAUCACUUCAUUUGAAGAAACUAGCAUGAUCAAGAUUCAUCGGCUUCUCAUACUGUACCGCUAUACACCCCUCAGCAACAACCCAAUCCCCAUUCACAGCCGUUGCACAGCUCUACAAACAGAGCCCAGGUGAUUUAAAAUAUAUUAUGUUCUUGAAGACUUUUAGUUAACUCAUUGGAAUAUAUGAGAAGAUCCCAUAAGAAUAAUAUGUACCUUGGAACAAGUAUAGACAAUAAGUGUCAUCCAAUCCCAGUUAUCCAACGAUUGCUUCAGCCCUUCAUCAACAACACCCUCAUGCAGAAAAUAUAUCAAAGGAGACAUGAGUUGCAUCUCAAAGACCAUCGGAGAGUCGCAAUGCCUGCAGUUCUCAGGAGACUUCAGGUCUUCCGUAGCCAGCAAUGGCGUACCUCCAUAUGAGUACCUGACCAUGAAGAGACAGUCAGACUAAAGCUCAAAAACCAUUCAGUAAAAGAUACGAGCCGAGCAACGAUUACCUGAAACAUUGCUCAGAGUUCGCAUCUAGUCGUUUUUUGAACUUAAGGUAAGUCCUAUCUGCAUUCAAGGCUUUGUCAUACUCAUACUUCUCAUCCUCCCAAGCUUCUUCAGCUUCACUCUCAUCGUUCUUGCUUGUUUCUUUAUCCUUAAUGGACAUAGACGAAUAACUCAUGGAGACACGUUCCACAUCUUUUGUUGAGACUUUCUCUUCCUUUGUGUAUAUGUAGAAGCAGGGAAGCACCGCACCAGUCUCGACUUUAACCUGAUCCACUGACUUCAAAGGUGAAGGCUUUGCUUUAGUCCCUGAGCUAGCAUUGCCACUUGGUUUGCUCUUUGGUUUCUUGGAGUUGGAUGCAACCGUAGUAGCAGCCUCCGCAAUGGCUUUAGCUAAACUCUCAAAAUCAAAAUCUUCAUCAUCAUCAUCAUCACCAUCAUCGUCUAACCAAUGAGUUUUGGAAGGUGUAUCCUUAGGUGAGGCAACGGGAAGAUCCUCUGAAUCAAUAGAUUCUUUCUCCUUUAUAGCUUUCUGAACGCUUAAAGCUCUCCAGCUGAAGCAAAACCAGAUGAAACACAAAGUUCAGACCUUUGAUCAUUCUUACAUAAUCAUAAAAAAAGAUAAAACCUUUGUUCAGAAGCUCCACAUUUAGGCAUCAAGCAACCGAAGAUAUAGAGAGUACGCUCUUCUUCAGUUGAGAUUGGGGAGUAAACCUGAGCUACAAGGGAGAGUUUACUUCCACAGGAACAGCAGUUUAGUAGCUCUGGUUUCAGUAUAUCAUCUGGUAAUGGUGGCCAGUCCUGGAAGCAAACUUAUGAUCAGUACACAGAAAGAUUUGAACUUUUAUGUGAAAGGAGUGAUGGAGAGAAGGAGUGUUACCGGAAGACCUCCGAUUUUAGUUGUGUAGUGAUCAGAAGACUCGAGCUCGUCUUCUGCCCACUGUCCAGGCAAACCCAGAAGAACUCCGACCAUGAUGAUAGCAGUUCUCCGACCAAAGCAGAACAGAGAGAUUAUUGGUGAAGUUUAGCUCUGUUUCGAAACAACAACGGUGAGGACGACGAAGCGAGAGGUGGGAGAGAAUAAAGCCAGUUAGGGUAAUUAGAAAACCGGUUUAAAUCGAACCAAUUGGUUUAAAUUGAAUUGAACGAUUUCAAUUGAACCAGUUGGUUUUAUGAUUCAUGCCACUACUAGACAGCACUCCAUUUAUGAGAUGGUAACGUUUCUUUAUUUCUAAACCUGCUCCAUAUACAUUCCAGUUACCACAAAAUAUUUGAUCAUGCUUGUUGACUGUAAUUAAUAAAAGAAUACUGACUUCUUCGUUUUUUUCAGUUCCGUCUCUUGGAAUGCAAGAUCCAAUGCAUGUGUUCUUUAAAAGUCAAUAAUUAAAAGACAACAAAGAAAAGUAAAAAGUUGUGAUUGUGGGAGAGGAGAUGGUUGAAGCUGACACUGCCAAAUUACCACUGUGUGGUUCAUAUAAAUCCUGGGAACGGAAGACACUUGUCACCGUUGCCACUAGUCAAAAUACAACACCAGCAGGCACGUAAACUGCUCUAUGGGUAUCAAUACGCCACCAAGUUUUAGGUUUUAUUCUCCUUUAAAUAUCGUUAGAAAAGCUGAAUGCAGUUUACAAUUUGUAUUAUAUUAAAUAUCUUGCUAUAACAUUGAAAACAAUCGCAUCUAUAAACUUAUUAAUAUGUAUCACGUACCGGCUGGCAACAUUAAACAUGAAGUUGUGUUAAUCGCCUCCAUGAUUUAUAUCUAACCAAACUAAGUCGUCCAUAUUUUUAUUAACUAAUUAUAGACUUUUGUUUUUUAAUAUGUACAUAUUCAGUAACGAUAGAUAGUCGGCUAGGUUUGAUUUUUAUAUAACAAACACACAUCUACUUAUCUUAAAAUAUGUUAUGGCUUUUCUUUCUUGUCAACAUGUUAUGGAAUUCUUUUAUAAAAUCGAGAAUCAGAUUAGAUCUGAAAUCAAAAAUCGUAUCCAUAUUCAAUAGCUAGACCAGCAAAACCACGUACGCGGUACGCUCACAGAAGAUAGAAGCAAAAGCUGACGCGGAUAAAGCGUGUGCAUGUCCCAGUGAAUGACAUUAUUAGUAAUUUGGUCACAAAUGCUUUAUCUUUUUUUCUGAUAGAAAAAUAUAAAAAGAACGUAAAAUAAAAUAUUUGAAUAUAUGUUGUGUAACAUUGUAUUCGUACCACCCAAUCUAGCUGUAAUUUUGCUCUAUUAAAUAUUGCAUACCUUCCUCAGUAGCUUUCUUUAUAUAUGUUCUCUCCAGUACAAUCUCCAUUGCUCCUAAUAUCAUAUUUUCAAGAAAACAAGAUACUGGAGGACUCUCUCUUCUCACUACAGCUUUGGUCGUAUGGAUGAUCUAAAGGAGGUUUAAAUCUCUCAGACCCUUCUUCUUAUUCUUCUGUUUUUCCUCCAGAGAAUAAAUUUUAGAGUUUUUUUUUGGUAAAAAUAAAUUUUAAAGUUGAAGUGAUCCAUGAUCAUUCACUUCUACAGAGUGAAUUUUACAUGUUUUUGAAUUAGUCUCUUAUAUAUCGAAACUAGUGAAACUUUUGAGAAUCAGAACAAACGAUUUUAAGGGGUUUUUUCUUUUGUUGGCAGAACAAGAACUCGCCAUGGCUAUCAGUACCACAGUUUGGAGACUGGGAUCAGAAAGGAGGAACCAUUUCUGACUACUCAAUGGAUUUCACAAAGAUCAGAGAGAUGAGGAAACAGAACAAGAGAGAUCCUUCUCGAGCCAGUCUUGGCAACGAAGAAGACCUCAUUAACCCUUUUCAUAACCAACCUACUACAGUUGAUAAUACUAAGCCUAAACUCACGACUGUUCACAGCGACAACAACAGAACGAAAACUGAGUUCUCUCACCACCAGCCACUUUCUCCAUCUGUAAG